ACAGCGGCAAACGGGGUAGGAAUGGUCGGUAACGUACCCUUCGGACGGGGAUAGCCACGGGAAACUGUGGGUAAUACUCGAUAAACUCCUUGAACGUAACGGUUUAGGGAGCAAAGGUGAGAUUCCACCGGAGGAGCGGCUGACUUAGUAUUAGCUAGUUGGUGAGGUAAAAGCUUACCAAGGCAUCGAUGCUUAGGGGGUGUGAGAGCAUGGCCCCCACCACUGGGACUGAGAUACUGCCCAGACACCUACGGGUGGCUGCAGUCGAGAAUCUUCGGCAAUGGGCGAAAGCCUGACCGAGCGACGCCGCGUGUGGGAUGAAGGCCCUUGGGUUGUAAACCACUGUCAGGGGGGAUGAAAUGCGCGGGGGUACUCCCCUGCGUUUGACGGAGCCCCAGAGGAAGCACGGGCUAAGUUCGUGCCAGCAGCCGCGGUAAUACCAACUGUGCAAACGUUAUU
rnacentral:rRNA from 1 species